GAAAAAGUUAUAGGGGCUAUAAGGCUGGCUUGAAACCGGCCCUAGGGGGUUCGACUCUCUCCUUUUUCA
rnacentral:tRNA from 1 species